rnacentral:lncRNA from 10 species
GCAUGUGAUUUUAUUUCUAAUCCUAGCUUCCUAGGAGUUUCCCCUGGAUAGAGAAAUUUGUUCAGCCAGUGCUUGGUCAGGGUUUGUGAUUAGGUUUGUUGUGAGGCUUCUGCACAUUGGAUGAUGGGUUUCUGUGCAGCCUUGAGUGGUUUUAGUCUGCCUCACACUGGGAAGUUUCCAGGUUCUGCCUUUUGCAUUAUUUUCAGUCUAUUCCCC